rnacentral:rRNA from 1 species
GACGAACGCUGGCGGCGUGCUUAACACAUGCAAGUCGAACGGAAAGGCCUUUUCGGAGGUACUCGAGUGGCGAACGGGUGAGUAACACGUGGGUGAUCUGCCCUGCCCUCUGGGAUAAGCCUGGGUAACUGGGUCUAAUACCGGAUCGGACCGCACUUUUGUGUGUGUGGUGGAAAGUUUUUUCGGUGUAGGAUGAGCCCGCGGCCUAUCAGCUUGUUGGUGGGGUAAUGGCCUACCAAGGCGGCGACGGGUAGCCGGACUGAGAGGUUGGUCGGCGACAUUGGGACUGAGAUACGGCCCAGACUGCUACGGGAGGCAGCAGGGGGGAAUAUUGCACAAUGGGCGCAAGCCUGAUGCAGCGACGCCGCGUGGGGGAUGACGGCCUUCGGGUUGUAAACUCCUUUCGCCAGGGACGAAGCGUUUUGUGACGGUACCUGGAGAAGAAGCACCGGCUAACUACGUG